ACCUAACGACUGGCGACUGCUAAUCAACCGCUGAUUUACUCCCGAUCACAGACUGACGGUUUCUGAGCGGCAAAUCGGGCUAAAAAAAAUCAUGUAGUGUGAACUUGGCUUUACAGGCAAAAGUCAGUUUUAAGGGCAGGACCAGUGAAGGUAAAAGCCCUCUGUAACGAUGUCUCUUACUCCUCCCGUGUUACCACUUCCCGGGGAUUGGCACCCCGCAUUCAUACCAGCCCACGAAUGGAUGGGGUGUACGUCGGCCAAUGACUCCAUAUGUAACUGGUUCCUGUCUGUAUGCACGAUAAAAUCCUGCAAAAGAAACAAAUGUUCGUGGCCAUUCACAGAAUUGUAUCAGGAGACUUGAUUACAAUAAAGAGUGAGCAUGA